GAACGUACGCUGGCGGCACGCCUAACACAUGCAAGUCGAACGAAGUAGCAAUACUUAGUGGCAGACGGGUGAGUAACAUGUAGGUAUCUGCCCUUUGGCCUGGAAUAACACGAGGAAACUUGUGCUAAUACCGGAUAAGUCUUUACGGAGAAAGCUUUAUGCACCAUUGGAUGAGCCUGCACUUGAUUAGUUUGUUGGUGGGGUAAUGGCCUACCAAGACUGUGAUCAAUAGCUGAUUUGAGAGGAUGAUCAGCCACAUUGGGACUGAGACACGGCCCAAACUCCUACGGGAGGCAGCAGUGGGGAAUCUUGCACAAUGGAGGAAACUCUGAUGCAGCGAUGCCGCGUGAGUGAAGAAGGCCCUUGGGUUGUAAAGCUCUUUCGUCGGGGAAGAAAAUGACUGUACCCGAAUAAGAAGGUCCGGCUAACUUCGUGCCAGCAGCCGCGGUAAUACGAAGGGACCUAGCGUAGUUCGGAAUUACUGGGCUUAAAGAGUUCGUAGGUGGUUGAAAAAGUUAGUGGUGAAAUCCCAGAGCUUAACUCUGGAACUGCCAUUAAAACUUUUCAGCUAGAGUAUGAUAGAGGAAAGCAGAAUUUCUAGUGUAGAGGUGAAAUUCGUAGAUAUUAGAAAGAAUACCAAUUGCGAAGGCAGCUUUCUGGAUCAUUACUGACACUGAGGAACGAAAGCAUGGGUAGCGAAGAGGAUUAGAUACCCUCGUAGUCCAUGCCGUAAACGAUGUGUGUUAGACGUUGGAAAUUUAUUUUCAGUGUCGCAGGGAAACCGAUAAACACACCGCCUGGGGAGUACGACCGCAAGGUUAAAACUCAAAUGAAUUGACGGGGACCCGCACAAGUAGUGGAGCAUGUGGUUUAAUUCGAAGAUACGCGCAGAACCUUACCAACACUUGACAUGUUCGUCGCGACUCUAAGAGAUUAGAGUUUUCGGUUCGGCCGGACGAAACACAGGUGCUGCAUGGCUGUCGUCAGCUCGUGUCGUGAGAUGUUGGGUUAAGUCCCGCAACGAGCGCAACCCUCACUUUUAGUUGCCAUCAUUAAGUUGGGCACUCUGAAAGAACUGCCAGUGAUAAGCUGGAGGAAGGUGGGGAUGACGUCAAGUCCUCAUGGCCCUUACGUGUUGGGCUACACACGUGCUACAAUGGUAUCUACAACAGGAAGCAAGACUGCGAAGUUAAGCAAAUCCCUAAAAGAUACCUCAGUUCGGAUUGCACUCUGCAACUCGAGUGCAUGAAGCUGGAAUUACUAGUAAUCGUGGAUCAGCGUGCCACGGUGAAUGCGUUCCCGGGUCUUGUACUCACCGCCCGUCAA
rnacentral:rRNA from 1 species